rnacentral:rRNA from 1 species
AACGAACGCUGGCGGCAGGCCUAACACAUGCAAGUCGAGCGAGGACUUCGGUUCUAGCGGCGGACGGGUGAGUGACGCGUGGGAAUGUGCCCUUCUCUACGGAAUAGCCCUGGGAAACUGGGAGUAAUACCGUAUACGCCCUAUUGGGGAAAGAUUUAUCGGAGAAGGAUCAGCCCGCGUUGGAUUAGGUAGUUGGUGGGGUAAUGGCCUACCAAGCCGACGAUCCAUAGCUGGUUUGAGAGGAUGAUCAGCCACACUGGGACUGAGACACGGCCCAGACUCCUACGGGAGGCAGCAGUGGGGAAUCUUAGACAAUGGGGGCAACCCUGAUCUAGCCAUGCCGCGUGAGUGAUGAAGGCCUUAGGGUUGUAAAGCUCUUUCAGCUGGGAAGAUAAUGACGGUACCAGCAGAAGAAGCCCCGGCUAACUCCGUG